rnacentral:sRNA from 1 species
AAAAGAGAAACGGCGGCUAACGGAGCGGGCGUCGUCCUGCCUGAACACUGCCGUCAUCACAUCCUGUGAA